GCCGGAGUGAUGGAACUGGCAGACGUGUUGGAUUCAAAAUCCAAUGAUGGUAACAUCGUGUGGGUUCGAGUCCCACCUCCGGCACCA
rnacentral:tRNA from 1 species